UUUUACGGAGAGUUUGAUCCUGGCUCAGGACGAACGCUGGCGGCGUGCUUAACACAUGCAAGUCGAACGAUGAAGCCCAGCUUGCUGGGUGGAUUAGUGGCGAACGGGUGAGUAACACGUGAGUAACCUGCCCUUGACUCUGGGAUAAGCGCUGGAAACGGCGUCUAAUACCGGAUACGACCUGCCCCGGCAUCGGGUGCGGGUGGAAAGUUUUUCGGUCAAGGAUGGACUCGCGGCCUAUCAGCUAGUUGGUGAGGUAA
rnacentral:rRNA from 1 species